rnacentral:rRNA from 1 species
AUUGAACGCUGGCGGCAGGCCUAACACAUGCAAGUCGAACGAGUGGCGGACGGGUGAGUAAUGUCUGGGAAACUGCCUGAUGGAGGGGGAUAACUACUGGAAACGGUAGCUAAUACCGCAUACCAUCAGAUGUGCCCAGAUGGGAUUAGCUUGUUGGUGGGGUAACGGCUCACCAAGGCGACGAUCCCUAGCUGGUCUGAGAGGAUGACCAGCCACACGGGAACUUAGACACGGUCCAGACUCCUACGGGAGGCAGCAGUGGGGAAUAUUGAACAAUGGGCGCAAGCCUGAUGCAGCCAUGCCGCGUGUAUGAAGAAGGUUUUCGGGUUGUAAAGCACUUUCGGUAGGGAGGCGUUACCCAAAGAAGAAGCACCGGCUAACUCCGUGCCAGCAGCCGCGGUAAUAC